rnacentral:rRNA from 1 species
CCUANGGGGGGCUGCAGUCAAGAAUCUUCCUCAAUGGACGAAAGUCUGAAGGAGCAAUGCCGCGUGAUCGAUGAAGCCUCUAGGGGUGUAAAGAUCUUUUAUCAGGGACGAAUUUGUGACGGUACCUGAUGAAUAAGUCACUGCUAACUUCGUGCCAGCAGCAGCGGUAAUACGAAGGUGGCAAGCGUUACCCGGAUUAAUUGGGCGUAAAGCGUCCGCAGACGGUUAAAAAAGUUCUUGGUUAAAUCUGGUGGCUCAACCUCCAGACCGCUGGGAAUACUUUUUGACUAGAGACUGGAAGAGGCAAGCGUAAUUGCCGGUGUAGUAGUAAAAUGCGUUGAUAUCGGCAGGAACACCAAAAGCGAAGGCAGCUUGCUAGUACAGUUCUGACGUUCAGGGACGAAAGCGUGGGUAGCGAAUGGGAUUAGAUACACGUNUANUC